rnacentral:rRNA from 1 species
GCAAGGCCUUGCGCUCUUUGAGCGGCCGAUGUCAGAUUAGCUAGUUGGUGAGGUAAAGGCUUACCAAGGCGACGAUCUGUAGCGGGUCUGAGAGGAUGAUCCGCCACACUGGAACUGAGACACGGUCCAGACUCCUACGGGAGGCAGCAGUGGGGAAUUUUGGACAAUGGGGGCAACCCUGAUCCAGCCAUGCCGCGUGAGUGAAGAAGGCCUUCGGGUUGUAAAGCUCUUUCGGCCGGGAAGAAAUCGCAUGGGCCAAUACCCUGUGGAUGACGGUACCGGAAUAAGAAGCACCGGCUAACUACGUGCCAGCAGCCGCGGUAAUACGUAGGGUGCGAGCGUUAAUCGGAAUUACUGGGCGUAAAGCGUGCGCAGGCGGUUUUGUAAGACAGGCGUGAAAUCCCCGGGCUUAACCUGGGAACUGCGUUUGUGACUGCAAGGCUAGAGUACGGCAGAGGGGGGUGGAAUUCCACGUGUAGCAGUGAAAUGCGUAGAGAUGUGGAGGAACACCAAUGGCGAAGGCAGCCCCCUGGGUCGAUACUGACGCUCAUGCACGAAAGCGUGGGUAGCAAACAGGAUUAGAUACCCUGGUAGUCCACGCCCUAAACUAUGUCAACUAGGUGUUGGGUGGGUAAAACCAUUUAGUACCGUAGCUAACGCGUGAAGUUGACCGCCUGGGGAGUACGGCCGCAAGGUUAAAACUCAAAGGAAUUGACGGGGACCCGCACAAGCGGUGGAUGAUGUGGAUUAAUUCGAUGCAACGCGAAAAACCUUACCUACCCUUGACAUGCCAGGAACUUGCCAGAGAUGGCUUGGUGCCCGAAAGGGAGCCUGGACACAGGUGCUGCAUGGCUGUCGUCAGCCCGUGUCGUGAGAUGUUGGGUUAAGUCCCGCAACGAGCGCAACCCUUGUCGUUAAUUGCCAUCAUUUAGUUGGGCACUUUAACGAGACUGCCGGUGACAAACCGGAGGAAGGUGGGGAUGACGUCAAGUCCUCAUGGCCCUUAUGGGUAGGGCUUCACACGUCAUACAAUGGUCGGUACAAAGGGUUGCCAAGCCGCGAGGCGGAGCCAAUCCCAGAAAGCCGAUCGUAGUCCGGAUUGCAGGCUGCAACUCGCCUGCAUGAAGUCGGAAUCGCUAGUAAUCGUGGAUCAGCAUGUCACGGUGAAUACGUUCCCGGGUCUUGUACACACCGCCCGUCACACCAUGGGAGCGGGUUCCGCCAGAAGUAGGUAGCCUAACCGCAAGGGGGGCGCUUACCACGGCGGGGUUCGUGACU